AGAACUUGAUCUUGCCACCCUUGAGGUCCUGGCGAGCACUGAAAGGGUUGACUUUGGGGGUAUGGGCAGCACCACCUUGUUGUGGCCGGUAGUAUGGGUCCAAGACAUUCACUGUACGCAAGGGCUUACGGGAGAAGAUGUCAGACUGGCUUCGGGAUAACCAGAUAGUACGUCUUGGGCGUGGAGACUUGGGAGGUAUUUUGUCAUCCAGUGUGCUCAGUCGCUUCACCCCAGGUCCUUUCUCCAAGAGUCCUGAGAAACAAGCAGUCAAAUCAGGAUUACGGUAGUCGUCCUAACAAACAGAAGCAGCACCUUGUGCCACAAAGUGUUGUACUAAUGAAAAAAACAAACUUAAAGGGAGGCGAUAUGCCAAGUCAUAAUAUGCCAAGUCCACUACUUUUCCCAUCUUCUUCUGGACACGGGAUCCUGCAGUGAGCCCUAGAGAGGAAGGUUCUACAUCCUCAUUCCCUCCCUUGGGGCAGGUGGAACACUCUGGUCUGAUUUCUUACCCUUAGCUGUGGGCUGCAGCUUCCUGUCUGUCUGCAGCUCUUCUUCCUGUAGAUGGCUCAGAAUUUCCUCCAGGGUCUUCCCAAUCUCCGCGAAGGUUGGGCGCAGUUUGGGGUCCAUCUGUGGUUAUCCACACCAGCCAUUAGCCCUGCCCUUUUAUCUUCCAUCCCAAGGAUGGCAUUUGAGUCUGUUUCUGGCAUCUUUUAAGACUCAGAUACGCAGCUAAGAGAUCUUUUCUGAAGGUCCCAGCUCAUGAGGGUGAUUCCCAGAGCUGAGGUCAGGGAAGAUGCUAUUGUCUCAUACCUUUCCCCAUCAGCACCCUUUCUGUAUGUGUCUUACACCCUUGAUGGGCACAGAACCAUCCAAAUGGGUACCCUUACACUGGUUUGUUCUCUGCUUGUGUUCCAUUGCUCACGUUUCUGGGAGCUUCCUGGACAAAGCCCAGCUACCUCUUGGUCGUAACAGGUAGGUCCAGCCCCAGAGCUGUAUAAAAUGAAGGCUAACAAAAGCUCUUCCCAUGGGCCUUAAGACCAGCUGGACCCAAAGUCCAACUGAAAUCUGACCAGAGCUCUAUCAGUAUCCAAGAGGCGGGGAGUCUACCCUGCAGGCUGAGGACUGUGUAAUACAGAGCAGUUUUCCUUUUCUUGGUCCAGGGCUCCGGACAGUCUGUCAGGCUGGAGGAGGGGUGUGGGCACCGCCAUUCAUCAGUGAAAAUGAGGCUCCUCUUGAAGCUAAUUAAUUAGCAGCCUGUCCCUGCAGUCCUAGCCAGAUGAAAAGGGUUCUGUCAGCCCCUGACCAAAGCUGGGAGGAGGGGAGGGAGACACUCACAUUACAGCAGUUGAAGGUGAGCUGCAGAAAGUCCGGGGGACAGUCUCCCACCAUAUGCUGGAAAGCGUCAUAGUCUAGCCCGAAGUUCUGUGGAUGCGCAAUGGAGGGAGGGAACAUGGCAGACUGGUCCGUAAUCCCCCCAACCCAUACUGGCCUGCUUGGGAGAGGCUAAGAAGUAACCACACAGACAGUUCCAGCAACUCCACCCCAGUUCCAUAGCUUCAAAACCAGCCCCAUCCAGUGGCACUGCCCCCUCUGCCUGCAGCUCACCUCUGUGCGGGGAAGAUAGUCUGGAUCAGCCUGGAUGCGGGCGAUGAUCUCACAGAGGAUGAUACCAUAAGAGAACACGUCGGCCUGGUGGAUAGUGAGACCUCAGUUUCCUUCUCAUUGGGGUGAGAGGCCCCUCAAGUCCACCAGCCCAGGCCUGAGCCCUACUUCUGUGUUUCAUUCAGUUCACUUACUGGGAAGAUGCCAAGUACCAGCUCUGCUCUUAGCAGGCAGUUCUAGGGGUCCCAAAGAAGAAGACAAUGCGCUCAGAAGGGGGACCAGCCCGCCACAGGGUUACCACCACCCCUCCCUGCCAUAGGGCACCUUGGCCUCUCCUUGGUGAAACACAUUCUCAGGCUGACCAUAGUGGUCAGACUUGGGGGCCCUGUCAGCGACGUGAGAUGGCCUAGGCCUGGAUCUCGGGGGGCUGCCCGAAGACUCGUGCCUCAACAACUAUCUAUCUUGGCUUUCUAUGACCCUAAGCAUGGCUCUGUGCCAGAGGUACCUCUGUGAACAGACAGCUUUGUCCUCUUGGCGCUUACAGUCUAGUGGGGGAGACAGGCUCUCCAGCGCCUCCCGUCCUCUCCUCAGAAUGCAGACACCCAGAGGCCAGCCUGACCUGAAGCAGAGGAAGCGCUCAGGCCUGCCUCGCCCCUUCACUGCCCACGGGACCACAGCCAGCUUCCUCUCUGCCGUUACAGUCUAUGACUUGGCCCUAGCCAACUACCUACCCCACCCCUGCCGUCCCAUGCACGCAUCGCCACCCAAACUUGUAGACAAGCUUGGAGCCUGAACAGCUCCUUCAAGCUUUUGUCUUUGCUUAUACUGUUCCCUUCCUUUGGAACGUUCUCCCAGCUGUCCUUUUCACUUCAGAAGAUUUUAUGUGUUUUAAGUCUAGCAGAGAGCCAGUUCCGGUUCAGGCCUUCCCUCCUUACAGCCCUCAACUCACGAGGGGGACUCAGGAUGUGCGCCCGAAACAAAUGCUGCAGUUCCCAGGGAAAGGAUGAAUCCAAAUGACGCGCAAAUAAACACAAGGCAGCAACCAGCUCUCCCCAAACUGCGUUCAAAAUAGCCCUACACCUCCGUCCACCCCCUUCCUCCAGAUGCAGGAGAAAGUAGGGAUCCUUGGCUCAGGGACAUCUCUGAGCCAGCCCUGGCUGGCCAAAACCUGCCCUCCCUCCUCCCCACCACACUUGGCGUGCAGUUGCCAAGGCAAUGCCACGUCAUCUCCUGCUUCUUUCACCUCAGGUACUAAUCAUUCCCUUCCUUUGUCCUCGACAUGAUCAUGCUAUGCUCUCCCUGGGCUGGAAGGAGCCCGUGGUUUCAUCUUCCCCUGGGUCCCAGGUAGACACGCACCAUCCCUGCCUUCCAAGCAGGGCUGCCCUUGUGCUUGUCCUGGCUUUGGCCCUCCCACCAAGCCGUGCGGGCUCAGCACCCCUGGACCUCCUGAAGGCUAGGAGGGCCCUAGGCCAGCUGGCCUAUUAAAAAGCCAAAGCCCAGGCUGUAGCGCACAGGCUUCUGAGGCCCUGGCACCUCAGAUCUGUCGCCUAUUUUUCUCCCCUCCUCCGUUUUCACCAACAACUCAGGCCCUGGCUCCAAGGCUCAGUCUAAAGUCCUACUUACUAUUUGCUUUCUAGCCCCCAGAAACAGCCGUAUCGAUUCAGCCCAGGAGCAAAUAAGGACCAGAACAUGGCCACAGUGCACUGGCCUUGUUGAAGCUGUACAGUUUCUGCCCAGCUUCAUGUUCACAGGCAUCUGUCCGCUCACUGCAAACCACCCAUGUAGGGGUCAGUGGCCUCCCAGGAGUUUCUCUGAACAGCUGAGAAAGGGCUAAGGCAGGGAUGAUCGCGGCCCCACAGUAUGGGACAAGGCUACCCAGUUUGCCUCUGAUCUGGAGAGUGACCAUUGCCCCUCUUGUAGUUUCUCACAGCCAACAGCUGGGCAUCAGCGCCAAAGACAAAGAUGGGAUACUGCAAACCCAAAGAGCCAAACUUAGGAGUCUGUAUCUGAGGUGACAAGGAAAAUGGGGAGGGACCCUGAUAGACUAGCCCCUGUAGGAUUUUCCACAAACUCCCAGCCUGCCCUUAAUGGAGUCUAGGCUAGUGAGGUUUGGCUGACCACACUUGGCUGUUUUUACUUCCUUAUCUCCCACUCAUUCCUCG